CCAUUCNAAGGNCGAUAGGGGACUCCNAGUGCGAGGGCAUAUCGUCCUCGCUUUUNUGUACCGUANGGAGGUACACGAANAAGNGCUGGGCAAGACCGGUGCCAGCCGCCGCGGUAAUACCGGCAGCUCAAGUGAUGNCCAAUCUUAUUGGGCCUAAAGCGUCCGUAGCUGGCCCUGAAAGUCCNUCGGGAAAUCCACACGCUNAACGUGUGGGCGUCCGGNGGAAACUUNUNGGCUUGGGACCGGAAGNUUCNAAAGGUACGUCNGGGGUAGGAGUGAAAUCCNGUAAUCCNGAACGGACCACCGAUGGCGAAAGCAUUUUGANAAGACGGAUCCGACAGUGAGGGACGAAAGCUAGGGUCUCGAACCGGAUUAGAUACCCGGGUAGUCCUAGCCGUAAACGAUGUUUGCUAGGUGUGGCACAGGCUACGNGCCUGUGCUGUGCCGUAGGGAAGCCGAGAAGCNAACCGCCUGGGAAGUACGUCUGCAAGGAUGAAACUUAAAGGAAUUGCGGGGGGAANCACAA
rnacentral:rRNA from 1 species